rnacentral:rRNA from 13 species
UUACCGACCGAUAGUGAACUAGUACCGUGAGGGAAAGAUGAAAAGUACCCCGAUGAGGGGAGUGAAACAGUACCUGAAACCGGAUGCUUACAAGCUGAUGGAGCUCUUCGGAGUGACAUCGUACCUUUUGUAUAAUGGGUCAACGACUUAGUGUUGUAUGCAAGCUUAAGCCGUUAGGUGUAGGCGCAGCGAAAGCGAGUCUGAACAGGGCGAAUAAGUUCGAUGCAUUAGACCCGAAACCGAGUGAUCUAGCCAUGGCCAGGUUGAAGGUGCGGUAACACGCACUGGAGGACCGAACCCACGCCUGUUGAAAAAGUCGGGGAUGAGCUGUGGCUAGGGGUGAAAGGCCAAUCAAACUCGGAAAUAGCUGGUUCUCCGCGAAAUC